GGCUGUGAGAAGGAAGGAAGAUUGAAGUCACACUGCUAGAGAGGGCUCUCCAGUGACAACUUUGAGAAGAGACAGACAGCCAAGUACUUGGCGCUGUUUACUGUGCUUGGCCUGCUUCCUGCCCUGACAACGUGGGCUCAUCUGUGAGGGAUGAGAUGUUAUCUCCAGUAGCUGAGACUUCAGGAACCCAGAGAUGAGACAAGAUGGCUUGGUUCCUGGAUUCCCCCUCCCACUGCUUGCUAUUUGACUCCUCAUCCAUCACCCUUUUUAUCCACGGGAUACUUUGGAAGUCCGGGUCACUUAUGAGUGUGUGAAAACAGAGACAUUAAGAAAGAACAGCUUCCAAGGUAGACAAGGACUGCGGCGCUAGGCAGUUCCACUCCGCUGGCUUCCUGCGACAAAGGGGCUUUGGGAAUUGAAGUGUCUCCGCCACCCUUAUGGUGGGAGAGGCAACCAGCUGAGCCCCGCAGGAACACAUAGCAAGCAGCUCAUGGGACAUAGGUCGGCUUGGUUCUCAGUACCAGUUCCAGAGCUGUCAAGCCAGGGAGGAUGCUGCUCAGCUCGGCAGAUGAAUGAAGACUUUGGUUUAGCGCAAAGUUUCCCUUUCCAACUCCAGUAUGGCGCGUUUUGCAUUCCUGGACUCAGCUGUGAUGCUGAUAAUUACUUGCUACGUCUAUCUAAAAAGACUCACGUUGUAGGCAAGCUCAGAUGGAAAUGAAAUAUUCUGUCUUGGAGCAGUCUCAUUUUUCACAGCUCGACAAUUCCCUCUGUACCCUUCUCCCCAGCACCCCACUGUGUCUGGGAAGCAGGUGUCUUAUGUCAA